UGGGGAAUCUUGGGCAAUGGGCGAAAGCCUGACCCAGCAACGCCGCGUGAAGGAUGAAGUAUUUCGGUAUGUAAACUUCGAAAGAAUAGGAAGAAUAAAUGACGGUACUAUUUAUAAGGUCCGGCUAACUACGUGCCAGCAGCCGCGGUAAUACGUAGGGACCAAGCGUUGUUCGGAUUUACUGGGCGUAAAGGGCGCGUAGGCGGCAAUUCAAGUCAUCUGUGAAAUCUCCGGGCUUAACUCGGAACGGUCAGAUGAUACUGCUUUGCUAGAGUGCAGAAGGGGCAAUCGGAAUUCUUGGUGUAGCGGUGAAAUGCGUAGAUAUCAAGAGGAACACCUGAGGUGAAGACGGGUUGCUGGGCUGACACUGACGCUGAGGCGCGAAAGCCAGGGGAGCAAACGGGAUUAGAUACCCCUGUAGUCCCUGAGCGGGCUGGCAAGGCGCAU
rnacentral:rRNA from 1 species